rnacentral:rRNA from 1 species
GACGGAGGGGGCUAGCGUUGUUCGGAAUUACUGGGCGUAAAGCGUGCGUAGGCGGCCUUUCAAGUUGGGUGUGAAAGCCCGGGGCUCAACCCCGGAAAUGCGCCCAAGACUGUUUGGCUCGAGACCCGGAGAGGUGAGUGGAACUCCCAGUGUAGAGGUGAAAUUCGUAGAUAUUGGGAAGAACACCAGUGGCGAAGGCGGCUCACUGGACGGGUACUGACGCUGAGGCACGAAAGCGUGGGGAGCAAACAGG